AUUUUUGGGGGAAUUUUACAUAAGAGUAUCAGAGUGGAUUUGAAUCACUACAUUUUUACUCUUGCUCUUUCUUUAUGUGAGAGAUGAUUCCCAAAUAAACAAAAAAUAAAUAGGUAUGGAAGCUAUAGUUGUAAACCGCGAUCGAAUAUAUAGAAGCAUCAAAAGAUUAACAGGAGGGACCGACUUCAAAUAGUUGCAAAAAUGCAAGAACAAACGGAUGUUAGGUGGAGGUUUGUAGACAACCUAAAAGAUGUGUCCAACAAAAACAUGGCAACAAAGAUGCUAAACACCAUAAAAUUUUCACAGGACCCCAUGUGUAAGCAGCCGCAGUAGAAGGCUAUAAAUAAUAUUGCAAAUAUGAAUGCAGAGAAUUUAUGAUUACCUGAUGUAGAAUCGUUGCAAAUUGGCACAUAAGCACUUGCAUUCUCUUACUAACAGCUGCUUCCCUACUGGCUGCAUCCUAUUUCCUCCUUUUUGAGCUGGGAAACAGCUACUAGCUAUCUUUGUCCUUUAGAACUGAGCUACCUUUUGGAGUGCUCAGCUUCUUUUUAUUUGCAGAAGUGUAAAAUUGCUCAACCUCAUUCAAGUUUUGCUCUAGCUGCAUAUAAAAAUAGAUUAUAAUUCCAUUAUUACAUGUACAGUCGUCAAAAUUACUCCAGGGAUCAGAAUACCAUUUCCCGUUUGGUGAAUGCAGUAGUUGGUAUCAAUCAUUAGUAUAAUAAAUGAACUCUAAAAUAAUAAAGGAAUCUUGAGUAAACAACACAAAAGAAUCAGAUUAUCUCUUCAUCCUCAUUGCAAAUUUGCAAUACUUUUAAGAUAAAAUAUCAAAAUCCAGCAAUACCCAAGGUGAUACCGGGCUCAGUUUCCACCAAAGUCGACACCACCACUAUUGAGACACACCCAAAUCUCUCUUUUCUUCUUUCCACCUACGGUUGCUAUUCAUACCCACAAAGGAUCGGCCAAGAUGAGAUCAAUAUAGUCCAAGAGAAAACCACACAGGUUGCUUGAGAGAAAGAGGCAGAGAGUUAGCAGAGAAAAACUCACAAAGAGAAGUAAAGAAGACCACUCUUUUGGAGGCGUGAAGGGAGCCAAGAAUUAUAGCCCAAAGGUGUGACCAUUGUUGGUUGAAAUCGCAAGUGCACAAGUCGUAACAAGUAAUAAAGUGAAUGAGUAAGAGUAUCAUCCCACGAGGAAUGAUACUCUAGAGUUUUCGAUUCACCAUAAAUACUCAUAUGUGAAUAUCCUAAUCGAAUUAAUUGUGAGUGUUCCUAAUUGUUGAUAAUCAAGUCUUUCUAAUUUAUUCAUUAAUUGUUCUCAAGCAUUAACAAAAUGUCUCAACAAGAAAAUUUUCUACAUAUCUGUGAAAAUUCUAAGUCUGUCAAGAUUCAUUAAGAACAAAAAUAAACCCAUAAAAAUUACACAAGUCCAUAGAUAUCUCUAUCCUACAAAAUUCCUAUGGUAUCUCAAACAUUGGCUGAAACAAUUAUUACUUCUCUGUCUCAAAUUGAAUCCCAACUCAAGUGAAUGGUGAUUAGUCAAUUCACAAGCAUUAAGUCCAGAAUGAAAUACUCAACAAUUGGAACAAAUACCAAUUAAUUCAAGUAAAGGAUGAUUUACGUAAUCGUAGUUAGGCUACAUCUCAAACUCUAGAAGAUAGAAAUUAAUUCAUGCUAAAAUUGAAGAAAAGUUUAAAUAAAGAGUUAACAUCAAGAAAUUGAAAGAGAUGGGAAGAAGGAAAAACUCAGUGAAUCUGGUCUCCCGUUUUCUUGGGGUGGCUUCCACCUUUUGAUAGCUAAAAGGGAAGAAAAAGAAUCGAUCCACCUUGGUCCCAGCCGUCUUGGUCAUCCUCUGCUUUUUUUUUUUUUUUUUUUCUCUCUUUCAAGCCAUCUUCACCGGAAAAGAAAGAAUCAAUCCCGAAUUCGCCUCUUUAAUUCGGCAGAUUUUUAGCCUUGGAUUUUGGGCCCUUUUUCACUUAGAAAACGUGAGAAUUUCAAAAUCUCUAUUUCAGGAGAAAUUGUAGCACGUUAAAUUACCUUUCCAAGGCCUCUUGAAUCAGCUCAAUACGACAUCGGAUGAGAGAGAUAUGGUGAUAUUACGAAGGGCAGUACAAAUGUGUUUCCAAUUCGGGAUUUCUUCAUAGCAAGAGACGUCUUCCACAGAUUUUGCUCCCUUCAUUAAUCUUUC
rnacentral:lncRNA from 1 species